rnacentral:rRNA from 1 species
AAUCAACGCUGGCGGCGUGCCUCAGACAUGCAAGUCGAACGAUUAAGACUCCCUUCGGGGAGUGCAUAAAGUGGCGCACGGGUGAGUAACACGUAAGUAAUCUACCCUCGGGUGGGAGUAACGUCCGGAACGGACGCUAAUACCGCAUAAUGCAGCGGCACCGCAAGGUGACAGUUGUUAAAGAUUUAUUGCCUGGGGAGGAGCUUGCGGCAGAUUAGCUUGUUGGUUAAGGAACGGCUUACCAAGGCUACGAUCUGUAUCCGGU